GCAACGCCGCGUGAGGGAUGACGGCCUAUCGGGUUGUAAACCUCUUUCAGCUCCGACGAAGCGCCUAUUAAAGGUUGUGACGGUAGGUGCAGAAGAAGGACCGGCCAACUACGUGCCAGCAGCCGCGGUAAUACGUAGGGUCCGAGCGUUGUCCGGAAUUAUUGGGCGUAAAGGGCUCGUAGGCGGUUUGUCGCGUCGGGAGUGAAAUUCCACAGCUUAACUGUGGACUUGCUUCCGAUACGGGCAGACUUGAGGUAUUCAGGGGAGAACGGAAUUCCUGGUGUAGCGGUGAAAUGCGCAGAUAUCAGGAGGAACACCGGUGGCGAAGGCGGUUCUCUGGGAAUAUCCUGACGCUGAGGAGCGAAAGUGUGGGGAGCGAACAGGAUUAGAUACCCUGGUAGUCCACACCGUAAACGUUGGGCGCUAGGUGUGGGAUCCAUUCCACGGGUUCCGUGCCGCAGCUAACGCAUUAAGCGCCCCGCCUGGGGAGUACGGCCGCAAGGCUAAAACUCAAAGGAAUUGACGGGGGCCCGCACAAGCGGCGGAGCAUGCGGAUUAAUUCGAUGCAACGCGAAGAACCUUACCUGGGUUUGACAUAUGCCGGAAAGCUCUAGAGAUAGAG
rnacentral:rRNA from 1 species